rnacentral:rRNA from 1 species
UUCCAGACUCCUACGGGAGGCAGCAGUGAGGAAUAUUGGUCAAUGGGCGGGAGCCUGAACCAGCCAAGUCGCGUGAGGGAAGACUGCCCUAUGGGUUGUAAACCUCUUUUGUCAGGGAGCAAUUGGCGCUACGUGUAGCGUUAUCGAGAGUACCUGAAGAAAAAGCAUCGGCUAACUACGUGCCAGCAGCCGCGGUAAUACGUAGGGGGCAAGCGUUAUCCGGAUUUACUGGGUGUAAAGGGAGCGUAGACGGCAUGGCAAGUCUGGUGUGAAAGGCAGGGGCUCAACCCCUGGACUGCAUUGGAAACUGUCAGGCUGGAGUGCAGGAGAGGUAAGUGGAAUUCCUAGCGUAGCGGUGAAAUGCGUAGAUAUUAGGAGGAACACCAGUGGCGAAGGCGACUUACUGGACUGUAACUGACGUUGAGGCUCGAAAGCGUGGGGAGCAAACAGGAUUAGAUACCCUGGUAGA